GACAUCACGUAUUUGUUCCUUUGCUCCACUCUUACCAACCUUUGCUCUGAUUUGUGCCAUGAGGACUAGAAACCUGGAAACCUACGUUUCCCAGCUACUCCAUCUCCCCACACCGCAGGCUUUCUGUUAUGUUCUGAUGAUGAACUACUGCAGGAACAUAUCAGGAAAGCCAAGAGAAUCCACAGACCCUUUGAAGGAACUGUACCACCCCUGCAGACUCCCUGAGAUGCCAAAAACUGUGAAUCUGCUUGCUUUCUCAACUGGGAGGCUCAUGGUCUGGGAAGAAAAUCUUAGAAGCCCAUAUGGAUGUCAAAUUAGCAAGUGAAGACUUGGAAACACCACGUCUGAGCCCACUGAAUCAGAUAAGUAGAGAUGCAACUUUGAAGUACUGGGAUCUCAACUUAUCUCAUGUGUAGAAACACAAGAGUUCUAUGUAUAUCAUGAAUUAACACACACAAUCACAAGCUGAGAAAGGAAGAAAUAGCAUUGGAGCAUUGGUACACUAUCAAAAUCAAAACAAAAUAAAAAGGAAUAAAGUAAAAUGAGCACAUAUUGAAGUACAUAGUAUAUCUACAAAAUAUCUUGACAAAGCAUAAUCUGACCUUAAUACAUCUUUUUUAAUGGGUAGAUGAUUUUGCAUUAGAAUCUUACAUAAGAUGGAGGAAUUGCUUCAACAGGGCAGCACUUCUCUGAAGAGCCAUUGUGUUUGGCCCAUCUGCUAAAGAACUGUGGGGAAUAACGUCUGCCCUACUGGCCUCAGCAAUCCACUGCAUUAAUAGAACAUAAGCGCUUAUGCAAUGGCACUGGAUCUGUGGCAGCUGUUUGUUCAAUGUUUCAUGCUUUUAGUCACAUCUGCUCCAAAUGAGUGUUAAUAUUACAGUGGCAUCCACUAAGGAUGGGCUCUGUCAGCUUUGCUGAGGAUCAGUCUGACCCCUGAAACAAUGGAA